UCAGACGAAUGACGAGAACCAAACUGCGGCGUUUAAGAGAACAUACCACCAUCGUCCAAGAAUCA
rnacentral:sRNA from 1 species